AGGAAAUGAUGUAAGAAAAGAAAAUUGAACUUGUUUGAAAUUCUACUGAUCAAGAAAACAUGAUACGAAUGUUAUGUGGCUUCCAAAUGAGUCCUCUGUGUGUGCGUGUGUGCGCGCGUGUGUGUGUGAAUCUGGAUGAAUGAUCUCAAUUAGGGGUAUUGACUUAAAAUUUGAUAAUUUAUACUUCAGCAAUACUACAUACCAACAGCACGAGAACUGGCACGGCUAUCAGGCAUAGAAAGAGCUCCAAUCCUC
rnacentral:sRNA from 1 species